GUCAGCAAAAACAGCAGCAACAACACUUACGAUGUCCGCUAUCAUCAGCACAAGACGUGUGCUCCAGUCCUCAGCUCGAGGUAUGAAUCCAACAACAGAUUGAUUGCAUCUGCACGGCUGCACACUCCAUAUGCCCAAAACAGGCAGCGGCGUGUUUGCAUUCAUCCCCAUAACUAACUGGCUGAUGCAAUACUCGGGCUAAAUCAGGCAGCAAAAUCCAGAAAGGAGCCACAAUGGUGGUUCUGUCGAGCUGCUGGCUAAACGAGGAUGGCCCGUGGCUUCAAAAGGGGGAAGAACUCCUCUGCAUUUGCUAUGACUAAACCCCCCCAGCUUGGCACAACUCAUCAGACAUGCAUUUAUCUCUCAUUUUGCCAGUGACUCUACCGCUAGGUUCAAGGCUUACAUUUAUAUGCUUUAAAAGUGAAGAAAAAAAAGAAAAAAAAAUCAAUUUAGCUGCAUUUUCUGCAUGUUGUAACAGGGAACUAUUUCAUAUAACACAACAUGGUUCAAACACUUUCAUUUUUGUGCAAUCAAUUACCCUCUUUAUUCCUCAA